GAAAGCGGGGGAUCGCAAGACCUCGCGCGAUUGGAGCGGCCGAUAUCAGAUUAGCUAGUUGGUGAGGUAAAGGCUCACCAAGGCGACGAUCUGUAGCUGGUCUGAGAGGACGACCAGCCACACUGGAACUGAGACACGGUCCAGACUCCUACGGGAGGCAGCAGUGGGGAAUUUUGGACAAUGGGCGCAAGCCUGAUCCAGCAAUGCCGCGUGCAGGAUGAAGGCCUUCGGGUUGUAAACUGCUUUUGUACGGAACGAAACGGCGAGCUCUAAUACAGUUUGCUAAUGACGGUACCGUAAGAAUAAGCACCGGCUAACUACGUGCCAGCAGCCGCGGUAAUACGUAGGGUGCGAGCGUUAAUCGGAAUUACUGGGCGUAAAGCGUGCGCAGGCGGUUAUGUAAGACAGAUGUGAAAUCCCCGGGCUCAACCUGGGACCUGCAUUUGUGACUGCAUAGCUAGAGUACGGUAGAGGGGGAUGGAACUCCGCGUGUAGCAGUGAAAUGCGUAGAUAUGCGGAGGAACACCGAUGGCGAGGGCAAUCCCCUGGACCUGUACUGACGCUCAUGCACGAAAGCGUGGGGAGCAAACAGGAUUAGAUACCCUGGUAGUCCACGCCCUAAACGAUGUCAACUGGUUGUUGGGUCUUCACUGACUCAGUAACGAAGCUAACGCGUGAAGUUGACCGCCUGGGGAGUACGGCCGCAAGGU
rnacentral:rRNA from 1 species